CCGCCUCCGCACUCAUCCCCGUCACCGAACCCACCCGCGCCUCCGCACUCCUCCCGUCACCAUCCCCGCACUGCCGCCUCCACCUCCGCCUUCGCCUCCGCACUCCUCCCUCACCCUGAACCCGCCCGCCUCCGCACUCCCAUCCGUACCGGAACCCACCGGCUCCUCCGCACUCCUCCCCAUCUCCACCCUGCCGCCUCUGCCUCUCCCGUGACCCCGAGCGACCGCCACGGUUGCUAGUAGUGCAACCGCGCCUCCGCCCCGGGAGAGGCCCAACUCGGCGUGUUCUCCGGGUACGAGCAACCACCACGGCCGCGUCGCCUUCUCCGAGUACAAGCGGCCCAGCUGGGCGUUUUCUCUCUCUCCAGUUGCACGUGGGCUGCAAUCUGCAAAGCUACUGCCCAUAGCAAGAUGAAGCGAACGGUGGCCAAGAAAAAUGCCAGCGGGAAUCUGUUGGUUGCUGCCCACAACAAGAUAAGGGGAACGGCGGCCAAGAAAAACGCCAGCUGGAAUCAAUUGUUGACUGCACAGCUUCUCUCCAAAAAUCCAAGGUUCUUUCUUUAAGUGAUGUGAGGCUUCGAUCAUGCACAAGAACCGGCAGUGAUAAUUUGAAUAUCACUGCCAAUUCAUGUUAUUAACUGAUAGUGUUAAUCACUAUCACUACCGGUUUUGCUGGCUCGAUUUUUUAUGUGCGUUUGAAGCUUCCGAACAGGCAGUGAUAUGUUAUCACUUAUCACCGUUGGUUAUUUUUUUAACCGGCGGUGAAGAGGAGGCGUGGGUGAUCCUUUCUGUAGUAGUGACUCAUGAACAACUUCAGCAAGGAGUUCGGUAGAUGGAGCUCUAGCUUCCGGGAAGUCACCCAGCAUAAGUGUGGCAAGUGAGAGGCCAAUGAUUUUUUAGUUAUGUGUACCUUGGCCUGUAUCUUGCUGUAUCAUUGCCUGAUGUAGAAUUUCCUGUUGGUUUUCGACAAUUUCUAAUUUCUGUUAUGCUAAUCAAGGCUUAUGACAAGGCUAUAACCAAGUGGUACAAGGUGUGAGUGACUAAUUAUAUCCCCAGGUGUCCAAAUACAACCUUGGGACGUUGAGCGAUGUUGGCUCAGCCUGGGCUGCACGGGUGGCAAGAGGGGAAGGGAUCCCAUUACCGGUGCCAAAUGACAUGGAAGCUUAGAAAAUGAUGGGAGAUUCAACCCGGCCUGCACAUUAUCCAAGAAUUUUGUCUAUAAAUAAGUCAUCACCCCAUAUAAGCCUUAGAUAGUAGUUUGCAAAUACUGCCGCUAUGUUGUACAUUAUCCGCACAAUUAUUCCUCAUGCAUGCUACUGUAACAAUAACACUUGCUUCGGCGACCAUGCUAUUGAUGUCUUUUUCUUUA